UCAAACUUAUAGGAACACUGAAGCACUUACAUUUGAAAACAAAAUCAAGGUAGAUAAGUAGCAAAAUGUAGAACUUUAUUAAAGAAUAAACCAUUUUUAAGAGAAAUAACUUAUUUUUUCUAAACCUAACGAAACAUAAAAAAUAUGUGCUUGUUAUGCUUUAAAUCAAUGUCAUACGUUGGACAGGCUAAAGUAUGUGCAAUAGGUGCUUUUGCAUGCUAGCACUGAACUUAUCAAUCCAAGUCACAGAGGCGAGCAGCAUUACCCACGCUGCACUGCUGCUGAUACCCGUUUUCAGGGUGGCCCACAUUCACACAUCACACUCAACAGAGGACCACUACAGAGAGAAACAUCCACGCCCUGAGCGGGAUACGAACCCGCAGUCAUUGGCUUCGCAGACAAGCACGCUAACCGCACUGUCACCCAGCCGGCAUAAUUAACACAUAUAUCAUUACAAUACUUUAUAUCUGUAUUAGUAUAUUUAAUACCUAUUAUAUAAAUCUUCAACAUUUGAGUUUUUUUGCGAAAUACAUUUAUCAGUGAUAGCAAACUAAAUCUGAAAUUUUGAGAACAAAUAAAAUUCUUCUUUAGAAUAUGA